CGCGCCUAUCUGCAGUCGAGGGGCAUCGCAGGUAGCAAUACUGGGCGGCGACCGGCAAACGGGUGCGGAACACGUACGUAACCUUCCUUUAAGUGGGAGAUAGCCCGAAGAAAUUCGGAUUAAUACCCCAUAAGAUCAUAGAGUGGCAUCACUUAGUGAUUAAAGAAUUUCGCUUAAAGAUGGGCGUGCGGCUGAUUAGGUAGUUGGUGAGGUAACGGCUCACCAAGCCAACGAUCAGUAACUGGCGUGAGAGCGCGACCAGUCACACGGGCACUGAGACACGGGCCCGACUCCUACGGGAGGCAGCAGUAAGGAAUAUUGGUCAAUGGACGGAAGUCUGAACCAGCCAUGCCGCGUGAAGGAUGAAGGUCCUCUGGAUUGUAAACUUCUUUUAUAUGGGAAGAAACCACUUUUAUCUAAAGGUGUUGACGGUACCAUAGGAAUAAGCACCGGCUAACUCCGUGCCAGCAGCCGCGGUAAUACGGAGGGUGCAAGCGUUAUCCGGAUUCACUGGGUUUAAAGGGUGCGUAGGCGGAUUGGUAAGUCCGUGGUGAAAUCUCCGAGCUUAACUCGGAAACUGCCAUGGAUACUAUUAGUCUUGAAUAUUGUGGAGGUUAGCGGAAUAUGUCAUGUAGCGGUGAAAUGCAUAGAUAUGACAUAGAACACCAAUUGCGAAGGCAGCUGGCUACACAAAUAUUGACGCUGAUGCACGAAAGCGUGGGGAUCAAACAGGAUUAGAUACCCUGGUAGUCCACGCCCUAAACGAUGAUUACUCGACAUUUGCGAUAUACAGUAAGUGUCUGAGCGAAAGCAUUAAGUAAUCCACCUGGGAAGUACGACCGCAAGGUUG
rnacentral:rRNA from 1 species